rfam:Picea glauca, whole genome shotgun sequence.
AUAUAAUGUAAUUCCUAUAGAAUUAAUGCAUAUAUCCCAUUAAAAAAUUGUAGUUGAAUGCACUUGGGCUAGAGUAGUAUUGGGAUGGGUGACCUCCUAGGAAGUCCUAGUGUUUUACAUG